UACUCGAGUGGCGAACGGGUGAGUAACACGUGGGUGAUCUGCCCUGCACUUCGGGAUAAGCCUGGGAAACGUGGGUCUAAUACCGGAUAGGAGCCAUUUUUAGUGUGAUGGUUGGAAAGUUUUUUCGGUGUAGGAUGAGCUCGCGGCCUAUCAGCUUGUUGGUGGGGUAAUGGCCUACCAAGGCGACGACGGGUAGCCGGCCUGAGAGGGUGUACGGCCACAUUGGGACUGAGACACGGCCCAG
rnacentral:rRNA from 1 species